GACGAGCGCUGGCGGCGUGCCUAAUACAUGCAAGUAGAACGCUGAAGGAGGAGCUUGCUUCUCUGGAUGAGUUCGAACGGGUGAGUAACGCGUAGGUAACCUGCCUGGUAGCGGGGGAUAACUAUUGGAAACGAUAGCUAAUACCGCAUAAUAGCAGUUGUUGCAUGACAACUGUUUGAAAGGUGCAAUUGCACCACUACCAGAUGGACCUGCGUUGUAUUAGCUAGUUGGUGGGGUAACGGCUCACCAAGGCGACGAUACGUAGCCGACCUGAGAGAGUGAUCGGCCACACUGGGACUGAGACACGGCCCAGACUCCUACGGGAGGCAGCAGUAGGGAAUCUUCGGCAAUGGACGGAAGCCUGACCGAGCAACGCCGCGUGAGUGAAGAAGGUUUUCGGAUCGUAAAGCUCUGUUGUAAGAGAAGAACGAGUGUGAGAGUGGAAAGUUCACACUGUGACGGUAUCUUACCAGAAAGGGACGGCUAACUACGUG
rnacentral:rRNA from 1 species